rnacentral:lncRNA from 1 species
UAAGUAAUCAUCUGAAAUUGGAUCUUGGCACUGAGCCCAAGUCCUCCUAAAUCUAGGGCAUCUAAGAGUGUCAGUGGAACAAUUUCUGAGUCUGACACUUUGUAGUAAGCUUAUUAGACACCAAGUUUACUAGAUACUUCCUAGCUGUGCAACCCUAGGCAAGUCACUUAACCCUAUUUGUCUCAGUUUCCUCAUCUGUAGCAUUACUUCAACAUCUCCAAUGGCGUGAAACAAGGCUAUGUCCUCGCUCCAGUACUAUUCAACCUAUUUUUCACCCAAAUAUUACGACAUGCUGUGAUGGAUCUAGACCUGGGCGUCUACAUCAAAUACCGACUGGAUAGCUCACUAUUCGACCUUCACCGCCUGACUGUAAAAACAAAGACAACAGAGAGACUCAUCCUGGAAGCUCUCUUUGCAGAUGACUGUGCUCUCAUGGCCCACCAAGAAAAUCAUCUCCAAACCAUGGUGGACAGGUUCUCCACCGCAACAAAACUGUUUGGCCUGACUAUCAGCCUCAGCAAAACAGAGGUGCUGCUCCAACCCGCACCAGGGAGGCCAAAGAACCAGCCGUGCAUUACAAUCGACGGCACGCAGCUUUCUAACGUCAACACCUUCAAGUACCUGGGCAGCACCAUCGCCAACGACGGGUCCCUAGACCACAAGAUUAAUGCCAGGAUCCAAAAGGCCAGCCAGGCACUCGGGCGGCUGUGCUGCAAAGUCCUCCAACACAGAGGUGUAAGCACUGCGACGAAGCUCAAAGUGUACAACGCAGUGGUCCUCAGCUCGCUCCUGUAUGGGUGUGAGACAUGGACACUGUACCGGAAGCACAUGAAACAGCUGGAGCAAUUCCACCAACGCUCCCUCCGGUCAAUCAUGAGGAUCCGAUGGCAGGACCGAAUCACCAAUCAGGAAGUCCUCGACAGAGCCAACUCCACCAGCAUCGAAGUCCUGGUCCUCAAACCCCAGCUACGAUGGUCUGGACACGUCAUCCGCAUGGACCCACAGCGAAUACCAAGACAGGUAUUCUAUGGUGAACUGUCAGCUGGACUCAGGAAACAAGGCCGACCAAAGAAAAGAUUCAAGGAUCAGCUAAAGUCCAACUUGAAGUGGGCUGGCAUGACACCAAAGCAACUAGAACUCGCUACCUCUGACAGAAGCAGCUGGAGAACCCACAUUCACCAGGCUGCCACCACCUUUGAAGAUGAGCGACGUCAACGUCUUGCCACUGCGCGUGAAUGCCAACACCAGGCCACAGCCGCACCUCCCGUAACAGCUGGCGUCCCAGGCCCCAUGUGCCACAAACCCUGCGCCUCAGCCUUUGGACUCCAAAGCCACAUGAGGGUACAUCAAUAGAGGAUAAUGCACAAAGACAAUCGUCAUUCUCGAUCACCGAGAGACUACCACUACCUCAUCUGUAAAAACAAGUUGGAGAAGGAAAUGACAAACUACUCCAGGAACUUGUUAAAAAUAAAAUAAACCUAAUGUUGGAGGGAUGUGACAAAAUUGGGACAUUAAUGCAUUGUUGGUGGAGUUGCGAACUGAUCCAACCAUUCUGGAGGGCAAUUUAG